rnacentral:sRNA from 1 species
AAAAGGGGCCUUUCAGGCAUCCUCUCCUAAAACUUUUCGGGCUGGCCUUCGGGUCGGCCCUUUUUUUGUUCCUUG